CCUACUCCUACAAGGUAAAUGGCUGCUAAGUCACAUGUGUGUUUCUAGGUGAGAGAAAGGAGAAAGGCUAUGUCUAUUCUCAGUGUUCUGACAGGUGAACAUUUGAAGAGUUUGUAGCCUAAUAUU